UACGUAGGGUGCGAGCGUUACUCGGAAUUACUGGGCGUAAAGCGUGCGCAGGCGGUUCGUUAAGUUAGUUGGGAAAGCCCCGGGCUCAACCUGGGAAUUGCGGUUGAAACUGGCGAACUAGAAUCUGGCAGAGGGGGGUGGAAUUCCACGUGUAGCAGUGAAAUGCGCAGAUAUCGGGAGGAACACCAGUAGCGAAGGCGGCUCGCUGGGCCACACCUGACGCUGAGACGCGAAAGCUAGGGGAGCGAACAGG
rnacentral:rRNA from 1 species